CGCUGCCGUGAUCGUGGU
rnacentral:siRNA from 1 species